rnacentral:rRNA from 1 species
UUCCUCUUAAAAAAAGAGGUAAGGUCUGCUCACUGAAUUUUGAAGAGCCGCAGUAUAUUGACUGUGCUAAGGUAGCAUAAUCAUUAGUCUUUUAAUUGGAGACUGGUAUGAAUGGCUAAACGAGAAAUCACCUUUUUUUGUUUUAUAUAUCUAAUUUAUUUUUUUAGUGAAAAAACUAAAAUUUUCUAGAAAGACGAGAAGACCCUAUAGAGUUUUAUAUAGUAUAAGAUUAUAUAAUAUUAGGUUUUUAUUUAUAAGUUCUUUACCUAUAAUUUGUUGGGGCGACACUAAGAUACAAUAAACUCUUUUUUCAUAAAACUUAUAUAUAAGAGUAGUUUGAUCCUUUAAAAAAGAUCACAGGAAAAAAUUACCUUAGGGAUAACAGCGUAAUCUUUUUUGAGAGUUCUAAUCGACAAGAAGGUUUGCGACCUCGAUGUUGGACUAAAAUUUAGGCGUGGUGCAGGAGCUUCGUUUUAGGGUCUGUUCGACCCAUAAUAUUUUACGUGAUCUGAUUCAGACCGGA